rnacentral:rRNA from 1 species
GAUCAUGGCUCAGAUUGAACGCUGGCGGCAGGCCUAACACAUGCAAGUCGAACGGUAACAGGAAGAAGCUUGCUUCUUUGCUGACGAGUGGCGGACGGGUGAGUAAUGUCUGGGAAACUGCCUGAUGGGAGGGGGAUAACUACUGGAAACGGUAGCUAAUACCGCAUAACGUCGCAAGACCAAAGAGGGGGACCUUCGGGCCUCUUUGCCAUCGGAUGUUGCCCAGAUGGGAUUAGCUAGUAGGUGGGG